GUCCUAGCCGUAAACGAUGGGUACUAGGUGUUGGAGGAUUCUACCCCUUCAGUGCCGCAGCUAAUGCAUUAAGUACCCCACCUGGGGGAGUACGAUCGCAAGGUUGAAACUCAAAAGGAAUUGACGGGGGCCCGCACAAGCGGUGGAGCAUGUGGUUUAAUUCGAUGCAACGCGAAGAACCUUACCUAGGCUUGACAUGCAGGGGGACAGGUGUAGAAAUACAUCCUUCCUUCGGGACCCUUGCACAGGUGCUGCAUGGCUGUCGU
rnacentral:rRNA from 1 species